UAAUGAAAUGCCUGAUUAAAGGGUUAUUUUGAUAGAAUAAAUUAUACACCGUAAAGUGUUUUCAUU
rnacentral:tRNA from 1 species